UGGCUCCUCUACCAGCCUCUCCGAUAUCUCCUCGUGAAGCUGGGGUUCAAUCUUCUUCUACUCAAAUUCUUUCUACUGUGGGCCCAAAUAGCAUGCCUCUUCCCAUCGAUCAAGCAAAUCCAGAUGCCUACCUUACAUGCAUUCUUGAAAAUGCAUCAUUUGAUGACUGGAGGGUGGUCAAAGAGUUAAUCAAGAGGUCGGUGC
rnacentral:lncRNA from 1 species